rnacentral:rRNA from 1 species
UGGGGAAUAUUGCACAAUGGGCGCAAGCCUGAUGCAGCCAUGCCGCGUGUGUGAAGAAGGCCUUCGGGUUGUAAAGCACUUUCAGCGAGGAGGAAGGUGGUGAACUUAAUACGUUCAUCAAUUGACGUUACUCGCAGAAGAAGCACCGGCUAACUCCGUGCCAGCAGCCACGGUAAUACGGAGGGUGCAAGCGUUAAUCGGAAUUACUGGGCGUAAAGCGCACGCAGGCGGUUUGUUAAGUCAGAUGUGAAAUCCCCGGGCUCAACCUGGGAACUGCAUUUGAAACUGGCAAGCUAGAGUCUCGUAGAGGGGGGUAGAAUUCCAGGUGUAGCGGUGAAAUGCGUAGAGAUCUGGAGGAAUACCGGUGGCGAAGGCGGCCCCCUGGACGAAGACUGACGCUCAGGUGCGAAAGCGUGGGGAGCAAACAGGAUUAGAUACCCUGGUAGUCCACGCUGUAAACGAUGUCGAUUUUGGAGGUUGUGCCCUUGAGGCGUGGCUUCCGGAGCUAACGCGUUAAAUCGACCGCCUGGGGAGUACGGCCGCAAGGUUAAAACUCAAAUGAAUUGACGGGGUCAUAGCUG